UGUAGUUCAAAUUAAUGAAAAUAGGGUUUGGAUUGUUGUUGUAUGAUGUUUGAUGAUUACAAUGGUAUGCUCAAUUGACAUUUUUGGGGAGAAAUUAAGAAAUUCGAAUUUGGAGAUGAUGCUGCUACAGUAAACCCCAAAGCCAUUUUCCAGUUUUUCUUCUUUCCUCACGUGUACUGUGCCAUUCCCCUCCAGCCAAUCAAAACAUUCCAUUUACUGCCCAAAACGAC
rnacentral:lncRNA from 1 species